AACACCCAAAUAGCCAUAGUGAUUUUAAAAAAGAAGAACAAACACGUAAGAAUUGGAGGCAAAGAAAUGUGGACUUGGAGAAGUCUGGAGCCAGCUUGCUCCCUGCAGGCUCAAGAUCAACCAUCCCACAUAG